CCUACGGGGGGCUGCAGUGGGGAAUAUUGGACAAUGGGGGCAACCCUGAUCCAGCCAUGCCGCGUGUGUGAAGAAGGCCCUCGGGUUGUAAAGCACUUUCAGUGAGGAAGAACGCCUGGUGGUUAAUACCCAUCAGGAAAGACAUCACUCACAGAAGAAGCACCGGCUAACUCCGGUGCCAGCAGCCGCGGUAAUACGGAGGGUGCGAGCGUUAAUCGGAAUUACUGGGCGUAAAGCGCGCGUAGGUGGCUUGAUAAGCCGGUUGUGAAAGCCCCGGGCUCAACCUGGGAACGGCAUCCGGAACUGUCAAGCUAGAGUGCAGGAGAGGAAGGUAGAAUUCCCGGUGUAGCGGUGAAAUGCGUAGAGAUCGGGAGGAAUACCAGUGGCGAAGGCGGCCUUCUGGACUGACACUGACACUGAGGUGCGAAAGCGUGGGUAGCAAACAGGAUUAGAUACCCUGGUAGUC
rnacentral:rRNA from 1 species